CCGAAGAAAAAGCAUCGGCUAACUCCGUGCCAGCAGCCGCGGUAAUACGGAGGAUGCAAGCGUUAUCCGGAAUCAUUGGGCGUAAAGGGUCCGCAGGUGGCGAAUAAAGUCUGCUGUUAAAGACCGGGGCUUAACUCCGGAAAGGCAGUGGAAACUGAUUAGCUAGAGUACGGUAGGGGUAGAGGGAAUUCCCAGUGCAGCGGUGAAAUGCGUAGAUAUUGGGAAGAACACCGGUGGCGAAAGCGCUCUACUAGGCCGAAACUGACACUGAGGGACGAAAGCUAGGGUAGCGAAAGGGAUUAGAUACCCCUGUAGUCUUAGAGGUAAACGAUGGAUACUAGGUGUAGCUUGUAUCGACCCAAGCUGUGCCGAAGCUAACGCGAUAAGUAUCCCGCCUGGGGAGUACGCACGCAAGUGUGAAACUCAAAGGAAUUGACGGGGGCCCGCACAAGCGGUGGAGUAUGUGGUUUAAUUCGAUGCAACGCGAAGAACCUUACCAGGGCUUGACAUGUCGCGAAUCUAGCGGAAACGUUAGAGUGCCUUAGGGAAUGCGAACACAGGUGGUGCAUGGCUGUCGUCAGCUCGUGUCGUGAGAUGUUGGGUUAAGUCCCGCAACGAGCGCAACCCUCGUCCUUAGUUGCCAAUAUUAAGUUAGGCACUCUAGGGAGACUGCCGGGGACAACUCGGAGGAAGGUGGGGAUGACGUCAAGUCAGCAUGCCCCUUGCGUCCUGGGCGACACACGUACUACAAUGGUUGGGACAAAGGGCAGCAAGCUCGCGAGAGUAAGCGAAUCUCAUCAAACCCAGCCACAGUUCAGAUUGCAGGCUGCAACUCGCCUGCAUGAAGUAGGAAUCGCUAGUAAUCGCAGGUCAGCAUACUGCGGUGAAUUCGUUCCCGGGUCUUGUACACACCGCCCGUCACACCAUGGAAGCUGGCUACGCCCGAAGUCGUUACCCUAACCCGGUUUUGGGAGGGGGAUGCCGAAGGUAGAGCUAGUGACUGGGGUGAAGUCGUAACAAGGUAGCCGUACCGGAAGGUGUGGCUGGAUCACCUCCUUUACAGGGAGACCUAGUCUAAUUACCAAUAGAUGAAAAAGUUGGUAAUUCGCAAGAAUCCUUAGGUCGUGAAGGGAGCAAGAAAAAACUUUCAAACUGUAAUGGGUGAGGGUACUCGGGCUAUUAGCUCAGGUGGUUAGAGCGCACCCCUGAUAAGGGUGAGGUCCCUGGUUCAAGUCCAGGAUGGCCCACCUGAAAUACACAGGCAGGAUGCCACAAAAAAAGGAAAAAAUUUUAGCAUUGUCUCUUGUAAUCAAGAGCAAGAGAUAAUGCUGGAAUCUAUUCC
rnacentral:misc_RNA from 1 species